UGGGGAAUCUUGCGCAAUGGGCGAAAGCCUGACGCAGCAACGCCGCGUGAGUGAAGAAGGCCUUUGGGUUGUAAAGCUCUUUCGACUGGGGAGAAGGGCUAUCCUGCGAAUAGUUGGAUAGUUUGACGGUACCAGCAGAAGAAGCCACGGCUAACUUCGUGCCAGCAGCCGCGGUAAUACGAAGGUGGCAAGCGUUGUUCGGAAUCAUUGGGCGUAAAGCGAACGUAGGCGGGUUUGUAAGUAGACUGUGAAAUCCCUGGGCUUAACCCGGGACGUGCUGUCUAAACUGCAAGUCUUGAAUUCUCGAGAGGAUGGUGGAAUUCCUGGAGUAGUAGUGAAAUACGUAGAUAUCAGGAGGAACACCGGAGGCGAAGGCGGCCAUCUGGCGAGAUAUUGACGC
rnacentral:rRNA from 1 species